AUUCGAUUUCUAAUCCUUCACUGCCUCAAUUCUUUCGUAGGCUUUCACAUCGUGUGAGCGAAGGUUUGCUGAUCGAAGAGAGUU
rnacentral:snoRNA from 1 species